GAUGAACGCUGGCGGCGUGCUUAACACAUGCAAGUCGAACGGAAAGGCUCCUGCUUGCAGGGGUACUCGAGUGGCGAACGGGUGAGUAACACGUGGGUGAUCUGCCCUGCACUUUGGGAUAAGCCUGGGAAACUGGGUCUAAUACUGGAUAUGACGUUUGUUUUUAUGGGGUUGUGGAAAGUUUUUCGGUGUGGGAUGAGCUCGCGGCCUAUCAGCUUGUUGGUGGGGUGAUGGCCUACCAAGGCGUUGACGGGUAGCCGGCCUGAGAGGGUGUUCGGCCACAUUGGGACUGAGAUACGGCCCAGACUCCUACGGGAGGCAGCAGUGGGGAAUAUUGCACAAUGGGCGGAAGCCUGAUGCAGCGACGCCGCGUGAGGGAUGACGGCCUUCGGGUUGUAAACUCCUUUCGUCAGGGACGAAGCGUAAGUGACGGUACCUGGAGAAGAAGCACCGGCUAACUACGUGCCAGCAGCCGCGGUAAUACGUAGGGUGCGAGCGUUGUCCGGAAUUACUGGGCGUAAAGAGCUCGUAGGUGGUUUGUCGCGUCGUUUGUGGAAUACCGCAGCUUAACUGCGGGGUUGCAGGCGAUACGGGCAUAACUUGAGUGCUGUAGGGGAGACUGGAAUUCCUGGUGUAGCGGUGGAAUGCGCAGAUAUCAGGAGGAACACCGAUGGCGAAGGCAGGUCUCUGGGCAGUAACUGACGCUGAGGAGCGAAAGCAUGGGUAGCGAACAGGAUUAGAUACCCUGGUAGUCCAUGCCGUAAACGGUGGGCGCUAGGUGUGAGUCCCUUCCACGGGGUUCGUGCCGUAGCUAACGCAUUAAGCGCCCCGCCUGGGGAGUACGGCCGCAAGGCUAAAAC
rnacentral:rRNA from 1 species